rnacentral:rRNA from 1 species
UUUGAGUUUGAUCCUGGCUCAGGACGAACGCUGGCGGCGUGCUUAACACAUGCAAGUCGAACGAUGAAGAGGAGCUUGCUCCUUGGAUUAGUGGCGAACGGGUGAGUAACACGUGAGCAAUCUGCCCUUGACUCUGGGAUAAGCGUUGGAAACGACGUCUAAUACCGGAUACGACCCUCGGAGGCAUCUCCUGGGGGUGGAAAGAAUUUUGGUCAAGGAUGAGCUCGCGGCCUAUCAGCUUGUUGGUGAGGUAAUGGCUCACCAAGGCGACGACGGGUAGCCGGCCUGAGAGGGUGACCGGCCACACUGGGACUGAGACACGGCCCAGACUCCUACGGGAGGCAGCAGUGGGGAAUAUUGCACAAUGGGCGAAAGCCUGAUGCAGCAACGCCGCGUGAGGGACGACGGCCUUCGGGUUGUAAACCUCUUUUAGUAGGGAAGAAGCGAAAGUGACGGUACCUGCAGAAAAAGCACCGGCUAACUACGUGCCAGCAGCCGCGGUAAUACGUAGGGUGCAAGCGUUGUCCGGAAUUAUUGGGCGUAAAGAGCUCGUAGGCGGUUUGUCGCGUCUGCUGUGAAAACCCGAGGCUCAACCUCGGGCCUGCAGUGGGUACGGGCAGACUAGAGUGCGGUAGGGGAGAUUGGAAUUCCUGGUGUAGCGGUGGAAUGCGCAGAUAUCAGGAGGAACACCGAUGGCGAAGGCAGAUCUCUGGGCCGUAACUGACGCUGAGGAGCGAAAGCAUGGGGAGCGAACAGGAUUAGAUACCCUGGUAGUCCAUGCCGUAAACGUUGGGAACUAGAUGUGGGGACCAUUCCACGGUCUCCGUGUCGCAGCUAACGCAUUAAGUUCCCCGCCUGGGGAGUACGGCCGCAAGGCUAAAACUCAAAGGAAUUGACGGGGGCCCGCACAAGCGGCGGAGCAUGCGGCUUAAUUCGAUGCAACGCGAAGAACCUUACCAAGACUUGACAUAUACGAGAACGGGC